GACGAACGCUGGUGGCGUGCUUAACACAUGCAAGUCGAACGGGCUUUAGUAAACAGCAGCCUCGGUGGAAGAUUACUAAUGAGAGUGGGGAACGGGUGAGUUACGCGUGAGCAUCAUGCCUAUGACUGUGGGCUUGCCACGGGACACCGGGAUUCAUUCCACGUACAACCAUAGAAACACAUGUUUUAACGGCGAAAGAUUUAUCAGGCAUAGAUUGGUCCGCGUCUGAUUAGCUAGUUGGUGGGAUAACUGCCCACCAAGGCGACGAUCAGUAGCCGGUCUGAGAGGAUGAACGGCCACAUUGGAACUGAGACACGUGCCAAACUCCUACGGGAGGCAGCAGUGGGGAAUAUUGGACAAUGGGGGAAACCCUGAUGCAGCGACGCCGCGUGAACGAAGAAGGUAUUCGUAUCGUAAAGUUCUGUUCUAUGGGAAGAUAAUGACAGUACCAUAGGGAAGGGCUCCGGCUAAAUACGUG
rnacentral:rRNA from 1 species